rnacentral:rRNA from 1 species
AACGAACGCUGGUGGCAUGCCUAACACAUGCAAGUCGAACGAGACCUUCGGGUCUAGUGGCGCACGGGUGCGUAACGCGUGGGAACCUGCCCUUAGGUUCGGAAUAACUCCCCGAAAGGGGUGCUAAUACCGGAUAAUGUCUUCGGACCAAAGAUUUAUCGCCUUUGGAUGGGCCCGCGUUGGAUUAGCUAGUUGGUAGGGUAAAAGCCUACCAAGGCGACGAUCCAUAGCUGGUCUGAGAGGAUGAUCAGCCACACUGGGACUGAGACACGGCCCAGACUCCUACGGGAGGCAGCAGUGGGGAAUAUUGGACAAUGGGCGAAAGCCUGAUCCAGCAAUGCCGCGUGAGUGAUGAAGGCCUUAGGGUUGUAAAGCUCUUUUACCCGGGAUGAUAAUGACAGUACCGGGAGAAUAAGCUCCGGCUAACUCCGU